GCGGACGGGUGAGUAACGCGUGAGAAUCUGCCCUUAGGAGGGGGACAACAGCUGGAAACGGCUGCUAAUACCCCAUAUGCCGAGAGGUGAAACUUAUAUGGCCUGAGGAUGAGCUCGCGACUGAUUAGCUAGUUGGUAGGGUAAGAGCCUACCAAGGCGACGAUCAGUAGCUGGUCUGAGAGGAUGAUCAGCCACACUGGGACUGAGACACGGCCCAGACUCCUACGGGAGGCAGCAGUGGGGAAUUUUCCGCAAUGGGCGAAAGCCUGACGGAGCAACGCCGCGUGCGGGAGGACGGCCUGUGGGUUGUAAACCGCUUUUCUCAGGGAAGAAACCUGACGGUACCUGAGGAAUCAGCAUCGGCUAACUCCGUGCCAGCAGCCGCGGUAAUACGGAGGAUGCAAGCGUUAUCCGGAAUUAUUGGGCGUAAAGCGUCCGUAGGCGGUUUAACAAGUCUGCUGUUAAAGCUCGGAGCUCAACUCCGAAACAGCAGUGGAAACUGUUGAACUAGAGUGCGGUAGGGGUUGAGGGAAUUCCCAGUGUAGCGGUGAA
rnacentral:rRNA from 1 species